AGACGGAGGAUUUGGAGGUUAGAGCUUGUAAUCUUUUUUCCAACACCCAUUAAACAACUUAACAAACUUUUAGUCUAGGGAUUUAAAUGAAGAAAACUCUUCACUGAAAGCUCAAUUAGUUAACUAGCUCGAUCGCUCUCGGAAACUUUACUCCAGAAUGAGUCAGCUGACAGAAAGGGAACAAGGGGAAAAUACAGAUGAAGGAAAAUCUGGCUCUGCGAAAGAUCUCUCUGAUGACCAAGAUAUGGAGUCGCCAUCUAACGCCGGCAGCAGAUGUGAAGAUCAAACUGAACCAUGUUCUGGAGAUCUCUCCAAAGAUAUGCAAGAUGGAAAGGAAGACAUUGUGAAUAUUAAGGAAAUAAACGAAGAACAACGGAAAAGAAUCUCAGAGCUGGAAGAUAAAGUAAAUGAAGUAAUCAAAAAGCAAGAGAAAAGAAUCGUAGAGUUGGAAGAUGAAUUAAAUGAAGUAAUCAAAAAGCAAGAGAAAAGAAUCGUAGAGUUGGAAGAUGAAUUAAAUGAAAUAAUCAAAAAUCUACAGAAUAGAAUCUCAGCGCUGGAAGAAAAAGUAAAUGAAUCUGAACGAAUUCUAUGGCUUUACGGUCUACCAGAACAAGAAGGAGAGGAUGUCAGGAAGCGUGUGAUUGAAAUCUGCAGUACCGUGGUCCCGGAGGCUGCAGGUAACUUUCCUCAUCAUAUUGGCAUCGCUCAACGCGUAGGGAAGAGAAAAGAAAGGAAACCUCGACCGGUCAUCAUCAAGUUUUCAGAUAAAUCAACCAAGGAGCUUCUGUUGAAAACUUCUAAGAGUUCCGAAUAUCACCGUUCCAGUAUUUUAAGUUUUGAGAAAGAUCUAACAGCGAAAGAAAAAGAAAAGCGGAACAAGCUUUUGCCUAUAGUUAUAGCUGCACGCAAAGAAGGGAAAACUGCAUAUUUCGAUGGUGCCACAGCUAUAAUCGACAGCAAAGAAAUCUGUGAUCUUAUUGAUGCUGGUGCCGAUGUCUCAAGUUAAUUGAUUAACAAGAGAUGAAAGCAUAUAAUUUAAAAUCGAAGGUAAAUUGUAGUUUGAGAAUAAUAAGUAGAUCAAUAACAUACCCUAGUACCACCCGAUUCGAACGUUGUCACUCGAUUGAAUGGGGCGUUAUCAGCGGUUAUCAGCCCAUAGAAAUGGGCCAGGAGGGGCCUCCUGUGCCUACUAGUAGGCUCAGAAGGCCGUGAUCAUCCAUCCAAAUGGUUGAUCACCAACAAAUAUACAAGAGAAGACUCCAGAUCCAAUCCCAGAAUUCCUGCUCACCGGUAAUCGGAAGUCUACUGGACGAAUGCGGGAACGUUGCGAUAUUUCCUGCUUAAUAUUUUCAGCAUACAUCUCCAGCUGGUUGCAAGGACUUCUGUGGCAAGUUGAAGAUGGCCCAGAGAGGUUAGCCUUACAGUUGCUGAUCUAGAAGCAUUAGGCAAGAGUGUCUGAGAACGAUGAACUGGAUAGGUAAUUACAAAAGAUCACAAAUGACUAAUGCUUCGUCUGAGCCCCGGUCAUCAAAGGCCAAAGUUCACAUUAGAGAGCUGUCGGAUUACAAUCUUUUUUAUAGGGACAUAUUCAAAAACAAAGGCACAAUGAAUGAUAUUAAGGGCAGGUGCGCCACAUUGGGGGAAGAUGCAAAGCAGAAAUACAUUCAAGAGGCAGCAGCACUGAGGGCACAUGGGCAGUCACAGGACACUAAACCCUGAGAUGGAGGCAAUUUGUGCUGUGUCUGCCGCGUCCAUUUUGAUGAUAAGAAGAAGAAUGCAAGAAAGAAGUGGCGUUCAUGGUCUCAGUGCACAGUGUGCCAAUCAUGGUCACACACAGGACGUGGCUUUAAAAAGAACAUGUGCGUUCACUGCAAAUGUGAAGACACCAUGCUAACACCCUGAAGAUGUAUCUUGUUACUUGUUUGGGUUGUUUUUACUGUGUUGACGGCCCCCAACCCAUCCAUACAAACACACACACAAAAUACAUACAUAUGCUGCAAAUUUAUUGUAAUGACCACACUUCACACGUAAGAAGAAAAUUGUGAUCUUUUUGUUAUUUUCAUUCACCCCAUUUUUAUUUAUUAUUGUUGUUUGUUGGCACCAUCAAUGUGUUCUCCUUUAUACAGGACUUAUGUGGGGACCAAUAAAGUUAUAUUGUACUGAA